UCAGUGAACCGCUGUCACGGGAAGGGCUGGAGAGAGAUCAAGACUCUUCGGGUGAACCUGGAUUCUGAGCCAUCAGCGAGAGCAGUGAAGAGGGCCUGGAACGUGGGCCUGAGCUGACGUCAUAUCUGGGUGUCCUGUGAGCCCGAGCCCCUUCCUCUGUGACUUCUGGGGCCACAGUCCAGCCCAACAGGACCCAUCGGUGCAGAGAAGAAUCGACAUCACCCGGCACAGAGAAACUGGGGCUGGAGCCAGGCUCGGGGCUCGUGCUCCGUCUCUCUCUGGGUCCAUCUCACAGAGUCUGUUUCUCUCAGUCUACGUCCAUAUGUCUGAGUCUUUUGCUCUUCCCGAUCUCUUUCUACAUUCCUCUUUCUCUCAACAGAAUUGUCACUCUGACCCUCUGUCUCUUUCUCUAUAGCACCCACUGUCCUGGAGAACGGCUCAUCUCUGCCAGUGCUGGAGGGCCAGUCCCUGCGCCUGGUCUGUGGUGUCAACAGCAACUCUCCUGCCAGGCUGAGCUGGACCCGGGAAAGCCUGACCCUGUAUCCCUCACAACCCUCGGGACCUCUUUUGCUGGAGCUGGCUCGAGUGCACCUCAGGGAUGAAGGAGAAUUCACCUGCCGAGCUCAGAUCCCUCUGGGCACCCAGCACGUCUCCCUGUGCCUCUCCCUGCAGCGGAAACCGGGGCCCGUGGCAGAGGUGACUCUGGUGGCCGUCGUGGGAUCUGCUGUGAAGAUCCUGCUUCUCUGCCUCUGCCUCAUCUUCCUCAGAGUGAGGUCCCGCAGGGGGAAGGUGCACUGGGCAGCAGGGGGCACGGAGGAUGCAGACACUGUCACGGGCUAAUUCCUCAGGUGAGUGAUGUGAUGUCUCAGCUCCCACAACCCACUGGACACCUCCUCCGUGAUGGCCUCCAGGAUUGCUCUGAUCAGCAUGGCCAAGUUGAGCUCCCCAUCUCCUCCCCAAGCCCCCUUGUCCUGCUGGGUCCCCCGUUUGGCUGAUGACUGGGUGGCUGAGUCUCUAUGUGCAGAUCCAGGGUGAGGUUCCCCACCUUGACCCCCUUCCCCACACCCCAUGGGUCACUCACUCUUGUCCCUCCUUCUCCUGAGCUCGGCUCAUCCUGAGCACUUUUCUCCACCGGCCCUGGUCAUUCCUGGGGCCUCACUUCUUCCCUGCUCCCUGAGUCCACCCCACCCCUGCCUCCGUCUCUCCCCAGCACAGGCCUCCAGACUGGGCCUCCAGAUAUGUCCUUGUCUGGCCCCGAGCAGUGUGGACGGCCGUGCCUCCCCCAUUGCUGGAGAACGAGGUGCAAACGCCACGGCCGGGACUGGGGGCCUCGCAGGGUCUGUCCCCUGCCGGACUGUCCUCCUAAUCCCUCCCUUCUCUGCGUCUCCCCACGUGUCCCCACAACCCCUAGGUCAAGCCCUCUGUGACUCUGAGGCUUUGCAUGUGCAGUUCCUCCUCCUGAAACGCCCUUCCCUCCCCACCCCUAUCUCUGCCAGCCCUGGUCACCUGCAGGCCCCGUCUCCACUGCCAUCUAGGUAUGUGUGUGUGUGUGUGUGUGUGCGUGAGUCUCGUAUGACACAAACUGGAGGGUGCCGUCCCUCCAUUCACUAACAGAGGUCCUUGGUGGCUGCUGGUGUCCCCUGCGCUGUCCCAGCCCUACUGUGCAUGCAGGGAGUGUCCGCACACGCAGCCUCAGGUCCGUCGUCGGGAGCUGUUGCUCUGCAGACUGGAUGGAAAAGGGUGAAAAUGGAUAAAGAAUGUGAGGCCAUGCUGAGUGGCUACCUGGGUUAGAGAGAAAAUAACUCAGAGAAAGGAGAAUAGAACACACUGGGGACAGUUUCCGUGUGACGGUGUGAGGAGGUGGUGUCUGGGCACAGUGUGAGGGAGGUGAGGAGUCAGGCUCUGCAUGUGAGUCAGGAACAGCGUCGCAGGAGGAGGGAAGAGGGAACAGUAAGCGCAGUGCUCAGAGGCAGCGGCAGGCCGGGUGCUGGGGACUCUCCGGGGCCCAUGUGUGAGAGCAGAGGCGGCAGGAGGAGGAGCAGGGGGAGGACAGGGCUGACACCCAGGAACCUGGAGCCUUUGGGGACAGCAGAGACACGACUGCACUUGCACCAUGACAGGUCCUCGGCUGCCCUGGUCAGGGAGACUGGGAAGGCGCCAUCAGGGGGAGGGACGACUGCAGUAGAGGGGUGGGGCCGGGCUGAGCACGUGCUUUGGGACAUGUGGAAGGUCACGCUCACAAGGUUUAUGAUGGGCAUGGUCAUCAGGGGACUGGAAAACACGGAUGAUCCAGAGUCAUACUCUUAGCUCCUGGAAGGGAGCUGUGUCCACAGGGGCUGCGGAGGGAGGGCUUUGCAGGGCAGGGUCAGUCCUGACAGUCCACCUGGCGUCGGAGUGGGGACACCAGGGAUACAGCUGGACACGCGUGUUGGCAGCUCAGUAGGGGACUCCAGGUGGAGUGUUGUGGGCAUAACAUGGCAACUGACGAGGGAAUGAAGGGGUAACGUGAGCAAGUAAUUCCUCAUAAAUCACAAGCAGCAUUAGUCUAAAUCAGCAAGUGCCCUUGUGCAUAUAUAUGAAAAUGACUGGAAGCAGGGACUUGAUCACAUGCUGGCAAACCCGUGUCCAUGGCAGAAUUAUUCACAAUAGCCAAGAAGUGGAAGUGACCCAAGUUUCCAGUGACAGAUGCAUGGAUAUACAAAAACAUGUCUAACUGAAGACAAAAUACUAUUCUUCCUUUUAGAAAGGACUUUCUGACACAUGCCACCAAAUGGAAGGACCUUGAGGACACCGUACUAAGUGAAAUUCUCAGUCACCAAAAAAACCAAUACUCUGUGAUUCCACUUCCUUGAGUUAAAGUAGAAACAGAAGUAGAGCAGUGGUCACCAGGAAGUAGGGGAUGGGAAGACUUAGGGAACUGUAGUUAAUGGGGUGGAGUUUUGGUUUUGCAAGACAAGAAAGCUCUGGAGAUGUGUUGCACAACAUUGUGAAUAUACUUAUUACCACUGAACUCUGUGCUUAAAAAUUGUUAA